UACAGAGGGGGCAAGCGUUGUUCGGAAUUACUGGGCGUAAAGGGCGCGUAGGCGGCCUUCUAAGUCAGACGUGAAAUCCCUCGGCUCAACCGGGGAACUGCGUCUGAGACUGGAAGGCUUGAAUCCGGGAGAGGGAUGUGGAAUUCCAGGUGUAGCGGUGAAAUGCGUAGAGAUGUGGAGGAAUACCGAUGGCGAAGGCAGCCCCCUGGGAUAACACUGACGCUUAUGCACGAAAGCGUGGGGAGCAAACAGG
rnacentral:rRNA from 1 species